rnacentral:lncRNA from 1 species
GACAGACACACUUCCGGCUAAGUACGGGCGUAAUAAUGGUGAUUAAAACUGUUCACCGUUCCUUUGAGUUCCUCGUAGAUUCUGGAUAUUAGUCCUUUGUUGGAGGUAUAGAUUGUGAAGAUUUUCUCCAAUUCAUCGCCGUUUUUUAGAGUUUUUCUCACUAAAUAUUGACUAACGGAACCUAGCCCUGUAAUGUUGAUAGUCGGGCGGGUCGGAAGUGGCUGAGGUGGAGUAUCUGCAGGAGAAGAACUGAGGCUCCUAAGUGCAGCAUCUUGUCCAAGAGGUUUCGUCCCAAUGCGUGGGGAACAUCCGGAUUGUGAUGUUUAGCUCUCAGUUUCUAACUUGGGCAUUCUAGCAACUGUAUUUCUCAUUUAAUGUUUUAUGGGCACACAUGCAGAGGAGUUUUCGUCACUGAAAAGCCCGACAACUUCCCCUGCCAACCCAUUGGAAUUAAAAAAACCUCGAUAACCUCUUAAACACAUGGAAAUGGAACCCUGAGCAGAGAUUGUGGUGGGUAUCUGUACAGCCUAAGGACCUUGGGUGGACCUGGCCAGCAAUGGGACUGUUACUGAUGAUGCAUCACAUGGUGUCACUAGGAAAAGCAUAGAUCAGCUGAGGAUCAAUCUUCCCACCAGGUGUGUGUGAAAAUGUAGGUUAUGUGCUUCCUUCAGCCCCAAACCUGUUGUCCACACCAGAAUCUGGAAAUAAUCUCAUUGGAAUUGGGAGAAUGAUUGAUGAUACUCAGUUUGAACUUCUAGCUUCCAAAACAGUUUUCCCAAAUCUUUGGGCUUCCUUAGCCCUGUAAGUGGAUCAAACAGCUGGGGAGUUUUCUUUUUUAAUUUUUAUUUUUAUCACAGAUCAUCUACCAUGAGCAAUUUCUCUGGAAGUUGAUGUGUCAAUGACUAUCUCAUCUUUGUUGAAGUGAAGUUUUUGGUCCUGAAGCUGGCUGACUCUCAGCUUCCUGGACAGGCCCUUUUCUGGGCACACCGGGACAUUGGGCAUUUGUUGGAGUUUUCCAAUGUCUGUAGCUCCAGGUGUUCAGCAAGAGGCAUGGCACUGUGAAGUCACCAUAGUGUUUACGGAGAAGCACAAUAGGGGGCACCCUCCAUAAAUCUGGUUGAGGGAAAAGCAUUACAAGUUGGAUGAAAUAAGAAUACAAGAAACAGUAUUUGUAGAGUGUAUAUGACUGUGUGUCAAGUGAAGGGAAGACAGAAGAAAUGCUGUAAGUUACUAAGAGGGAGAAAUGACUAAGGACUGCAGUUGUCAUGGCAGGCUUCCUGAAGGUGGUGGAUGUGGGCUGAUGUCUGAAGAAAGUUACCAUUUACUGAGAUCUCACAGUGAGCCAGGCCCUGUUCUAAAUAUUAAUGUGGAUAUUUUGUUUAAGUCUCAUCAUUUUUCAAGAGAGGGUAAACUGACAGAUGGGAAACUGAGGCCUGGAGAGAUUUCGUCUCCUGCUCAACAUUGUCACAACUUGUCAGAGAUGGAGCCUGAGCAAAAUCCCAGGUCUGCCUGAUUCUGAAGCCUGGACUUUUACAGAACACUGCCUCUGACCAUGGCUAUGCUGGCAUUCAGCAAGUAGGAACAUCAGGAGCACUGAGGCUGUCACUAAUGGUCCUGUCCCAGCCCCUCCACUGUGAAGCUGAGACCUUUCACAGGAACCAAAAAGGGAUUGAUGCUGUGGAGAUGGGACACUGAUACUCGCACCAUAGAUUCUACAUUUUAGGAGAGAGAGAGUCUGGCUGGCAAAGUUUGCCUCAGCCAAGUGCCUGCCCCUUUGAUGUAUCCACGCAGUGAGGGUCGGAAUCUGGCCACUGGAGCCUGGAGGAGACGCCUGAGCUUCCACAGCAAAAGAGCAGGUGGACAUAAGCCAUGACAGUAAUGAGGGAGUGCAGAAAUAGCACCAGGAAGACAAAGGCUCUGGAUUCAAGGCUGCGAUUGGUGAACCAAAGCAGAAGAAGCAUCAACUAUACAACAACACAAAUCAUCAGGAACAAAUAAUUUGAUUCAUUGUGGCAGACUUACUAAAUUAAGGAAGUG